CACUAGAAAGACAGCAAGUGGUACUGCACCACUACACAUUUCAUAGGCUAAUUCAUGGUCAGCCUUUAAUAUUUUGAUGAUGGCAGAAGAAGAAAUGGCUCGCGCAUAAAGGAGCUUGAAGAAGUAGUGAUUGACGAGAUGCCUGCAGAAAUUAUUCGAGUGAGGACCGCAGGGGCUGAAAGGGAAACAUCUCUCUCUCUCUCUCUCUCUCUCUCUCUGUGUGCAGUGUUUGUUUGUGCAGUGUGUCGUUACCAUGUGGCCGUGAAUGAAUGUGAAUUGGGAGCAGAUAGGACAAACGGUGGGAGUGUAUAUAAGAGCACGUGUGUGGGGGAUUUGAGAAGCAGUGACCUACUUCCCCCUUAAGGGUUUGGAGGAGGCAUUUAGAUCAAGCGUGGUCAAGGUGACUGUCAUUCAUCUGCAUUUGCACCUGCACCUCAGUCACUCAACUCGGUUGCCCAGCAAACGCUUGAGAAUGCUGAUAGCGAAUUGCUGUGCAAUGCAAUCCGGACUGUAUUGGGAACCCAGGUGCAGGUGCAGGUCCAGAUGAAUGCCACUUUGACCCUCUCUCAUGGAGAUCCUAACAUUCGCUUCCGGCUGAUCUCGUGAAUGCUAGCGAAGCGCCUCGUCCAUGUACAGCGACAUUCGGUAGUGAUCCAAUCCAAUCCAUGUGAGGUAAAAGUCAUCAAAACAGGUAUUCAAGGUGACUUAACAUUCUCUUACUUUAGUCCGUAGAAACUCGCGUAUUAUCAAUCUCUCUCUCCAAAUUCGACUGUCAUAUGUUUAUCAUUAGAUCUCUUCCCUGUAUUGUUUUCCCACAGUUCUUGGACUUAAAUGUCUGUCUAUUGACAGCUCCUUUGUCAGCGGAAGGUUUCUCUGAAGUAGGAAAAAGAAAGUGAAAUGGUUGAAGAAGAGCUCUUCUCCAAGAGGUGAAAUCCAAACGAAGGAAGGAAGAAGCAAGCUAUGGCGAGAUGGAGUUAUUUAGCAUGCUGUUUAAAUGAAAUAACAACUAACCAUGUGAAACACAGAAUUCGAUCAUGGUUUGAUCAUGCUUCACACAAAAUUGUCAUAAAGUGAUGAAGCACUGCAAGAACCAUCAUAAAAUCCAUGUCUGAUUACCUUUCCACUUUUUAGAUACAUUCUGAUGUCACUUAGGACAAGAUCAGAUGAUGUUAGCGAGUUUGACUGAGUCCAUCUUUCGUGUGAUGAGUUGAAGUUUGAAUGACAUUACUGGAAUUGAUUUCUUGGUUCUCCCUUGACCAUUGAUAA